rnacentral:ncRNA from 1 species
CGAAGGAAGGGGUUAGCAAAACUUCCGAGCCUUUGGACAGGAAUCUAAUGAGGGUAAAUGGUGGAUGAGGUUGCGUGAUAAACCGAAGUCCGAAAGGUAAACGUAAAACCAAGACAGUAAAUCAGGGGGUUGUGGAAGAAAGA